GCCUGCCGCAGAAUAACCCGCAAACCAGCAAAGGCUUAUCCGGAUCGGGCCGCAGCCCGAUCCGGAUAAGCCUUUUUGUUCG
rnacentral:sRNA from 1 species